UAGGGAAUCUUCCGCAAUGGGCGAAAGCUUGACGGAGCAACGCCGCGUGAGUGAUGAAGGUCUUCGGAUCGUAAAACUCUGUUAUUAGGGAAGAACAAAUGUGUAAGUAACUAUGCACGUCUUGACGGUACCUAAUCAGAAAGCCACGGCUAACUACGUGCCAGCAGCCGCGGUAAUACGUAGGUGGCAAGCGUUAUCCGGAAUUAUUGGGCGUAAAGCGCGCGUAGGCGGUUUUUUAAGUCUGAUGUGAAAGCCCACGGCUCAACCGUGGAGGGUCAUUGGAAACUGGAAAACUUGAGUGCAGAAGAGGAAAGUGGAAUGCCAUGUGUAGCGGUGAAAUGCGCAGAGAUAUGGAGGAACACCAGUGGCGAAGGCGACUUUCUGGUCUGUAACUGACGCUGAUGUGCGAAAGCGUGGGGAUCAAACAGG
rnacentral:rRNA from 1 species